GACGAACGCUGGCGGCGUGCUUAACACAUGCAAGUCGAGCGAAUGGAUUAAGAGCUUGCUCUUAUGAAGUUAGCGGCGGACGGGUGAGUAACACGUGGGUAACCUGCCCAUAAGACUGGGAUAACUCCGGGAAACCGGGGCUAAUACCGGAUAACAUUUUGAACCGCAUGGUUCGAAAUUGAAAGGCGGCUUCGGCUGUCACUUAUGGAUGGACCCGCGUCGCAUUAGCUAGUUGGUGAGGUAACGGCUCACCAAGGCAACGAUGCGUAGCCGACCUGGGAGGGUGAUCGGCCACACUUGGACGGAGACACGGCCCAGAAUCCUACGGGAGGCAGCAGUAGGGAAUCUUCCGAAAUGGACGAAAGUCUGACGGAGCAACGCCGCGGGAGUGAUGAAGGCUUUCGGGUCGUAAAACUCUGUUGUUAGGGAAGAACAAGUGCUAGUUGAAUAAGCUGACACCUUGACGGUACCUAACCAGAAGGCCACGGCUAACUACGUGCCAGCCGCCGCAGUAA
rnacentral:rRNA from 1 species